AGCGUUCAUAGCGACGUUGCU
rnacentral:snRNA from 1 species